CAUGCAAGUCGAACGGUGAAGCUCCAGCUUGCUGGAGUGGAUCAGUGGCGAACGGGUGAGUAACACGUGAGCAACCUGCCCCUGACUCUGGAAUAAGCGCUGGAAACGGCGUCUAAUACUGGAUACGAGAAGGGUCCGCAUGGGCACUUUCUGGAAAGUUUUUCGGUUGGGGAUGGGCUCGCGGCCUAUCAGCUUGUUGGUGAGGUAAUGGCUCACCAAGGCGACGACGGGUAGCCGGCCUGAGAGGGCGACCGGCCACACUGGGACUGAGACACGGCCCAGACUCCUACGGGAGGCAGCAGUGGGGAAUAUUGCACAAUGGGCGAAAGCCUGAUGCAGCGACGCCGCGUGAGGGAUGACGGCCUUCGGGUUGUAAACCUCUUUCAGCAGGGAAGAAGCGAAAGUGACGGUACCUGCAGAAGAAGCACCGGCUAACUACGUGCCAGCAGCCGCGGUAAUACGUAGGGUGCGAGCGUUGUCCGGAAUUAUUGGGCGUAAAGAGCUUGUAGGCGGUUUGUCGCGUCUGCUGUGAAAAUCCGGGGCUCAACCCCGGACUUGCAGUGGGUACGGGCAGACUAGAGUGUGGUAGGGGAGACUGGAAUUCCUGGUGUAGCGGUGAAAUGCGCAGAUAUCAGGAGGAACACCGAUGGCGAAGGCAGGUCUCUGGGCCACUACUGACGCUGAGAAGCGAAAGCAUGGGGAGCGAACAGGAUUAGAUACCCUGGUAGUCCAUGCCGUAAACGUUGGGCGCUAGGUGUGGGACUCAUUCCACGAGUUCCGUGCCGCAGCUAACGCA
rnacentral:rRNA from 1 species